UCCUCCCCUGCAUACCUGGUCUUGCUCUGUGCUUCUGGUCCUCCAGGUAAGCAAUCACCUUCUUAGGAUCCGGGCUGUCGGCAUACCUGGGAACCCCUGGAGACGACGUACCAGUACGGGAUCUCAGCCCACAGCUCGGGGUGCUGCAGCACCACCUGCUGGUCGCCAUAGGAAACAACGAGCUGCUGACCUCUGGACCAGCAGGACCGCAGAGUGGGGACGUCCUGCAGGACAGGUGUUAUUUGGGGCUCGCUUACCUGCGUGGUGGCCCAGCGGGAGACGCAGGGUCGAGUCCAGCAGGGGACCA